AGUGAACGCUGGCGGUAGGCCUAACACAUGCAAGUCGAACGGCAGCACAGUAAGAGCUUGCUCUUACGGGUGGCGAGUGGCGGACGGGUGAGGAAUACAUCGGAAUCUACUUUUUCGUGGGGGAUAACGUAGGGAAACUUACGCUAAUACCGCAUACGACCUACGGGUUAAAGCAGGGGAUCUUCGGACCUUGCGCGAUUGAAUGAGCCGAUGUCGGAUUAGCUAGUUGGCGGGGUAAAGGCCCACCAAGGCGACGCUCCGUAGCUGGUCUGAGAGGAUGAUCAGCCACACUGGAACUGAGACACGGUCCAGACUCCUACGGGAGGCAGCAGUGGGGAAUAUUGGACAAUGGGCGCAAGCCUGAUCCAGCAAUACCGCGUGGGUGAAGAAGGCCUUCGGGUUGUAAAGCCCUUUUGUUGGGAAAGAAAAGCAGCAGGUGAAUACCCCGCUGUUCUGACGGUACCCAAAGAAUAAGCACCGGCUAACUUCGUG
rnacentral:rRNA from 1 species